rnacentral:tRNA from 1 species
UCCCUGGUGGCUCAGUCAGUAAAGAAUCUGCCUGCAAUGCAGGAGACCCAGGUUCGAUUCCUGAGCCAGGGAA